GACAGAGGGGGCAAGCGUUGCUCGGAAUUACUGGGCGUAAAGGGCGCGUAGGCGGGCAGUCAAGUCAAGGGUGAAAUCCUGCGGCUCAACCGUAGAAGAGCCCCUGAUACUGGCUGUCUCGAGGGAGGUAGGGGCGUGUGGAACUUCCGGUGGAGCGGUGAAAUGCGUAGAUAUCGGAAGGAACGCCGGUGGCGAAAGCGACGCGCUGGACCUCUUCUGACGCUGAGGCGCGAAAGCCAGGGGAGCAAACGGG
rnacentral:rRNA from 1 species